UUGAACGCUGGCGGCAGGCCUAACACAUGCAAGUCGAACGGCAGCACAGAAGAGCUUGCUCUUUGGGUGGCGAGUGGCGGACGGGUGAGUAAUGUCUGGGAAACUGCCCGAUGGAGGGGGAUAACUACUGGAAACGGUAGCUAAUACCGCAUAACGUCGCAAGACCAAAGUGGGGGACCUUCGGGCCUCACACCAUCGGAUGUGCCCAGAUGGGAUUAGCUAGUAGGUGGGGUAAUGGCUCACCUAGGCGACGAUCCCUAGCUGGUCUGAGAGGAUGACCAGCCACACUGGAACUGAGACACGGUCCAGACUCCUACGGGAGGCAGCAGUGGGGAAUAUUGCACAAUGGGCGCAAGCCUGAUGCAGCCAUGCCGCGUGUAUGAAGAAGGCCUUCGGGUUGUAAAGUACUUUCAGCGGGGAGGAAGGCGGUGAGGUUAAUAACCUCGCCGAUUGACGUUACCCGCAGAAGAAGCACCGGCUAACUCCGUGCCAGCAGCCGCGGUAAUACGGAGGGUGCAAGCGUUAAUCGGAAUUACUGGGCGUAAAGCGCACGCAGGCGGUCUGUUAAGUCAGAUGUGAAAUCCCCGGGCUUAACCUGGGAACUGCAUUUGAAACUGGCAGGCUUGAGUCUCGUAGAGGGGGGUAGAAUUCCAGGUGUAGCGGUGAAAUGCGUAGAGAUCUGGAGGAAUACCGGUGGCGAAGGCGGCCCCUGGACGAAGACUGACGCUCAGGUGCGAAAGUGUGGGGAGCAAACAGGAUUAGAUACCCUGGUAGUCCACGCCGUAAACGAUGUCGACUUGGAGGUUGUGCCCUUGAGGCGUGGCUUCCGGAGCUAACGCGUUAAGUCGACCGCCUGGGGAGUACGGCCGCAAGGUUAAAACUCAAAUGAAUUGACGGGGGCCCGCACAAGCGGUGGAGCAUGUGGUUUAAUUCGAUGCAACGCGAAGAACCUUACCUGGCCUUGACAUCCAGAGAACUUAGCAGAGAUGCUUUGGUGCCUUCGGGAACUCUGAGACAGGUGCUGCAUGGCUGUCGUCAGCUCGUGUUGUGAAAUGUUGGGUUAAGUCCCGCAACGAGCGCAACCCUUAUCCUUUGUUGCCAGCGGUUCGGCCGGGAACUCAAAGGAGACUGCCGGUGAUAAACCGGAGGAAGGUGGGGAUGACGUCAAGUCAUCAUGGCCCUUACGGCCAGGGCUACACACGUGCUACAAUGGCGCAUACAAAGAGAAGCGACCUCGCGAGAGCAAGCGGACCUCAUAAAGUGCGUCGUAGUCCGGAUUGGAGUCUGCAACUCGACUCCAUGAAGUCGGAAUCGCUAGUAAUCGUAGAUCAGAAUGCUACGGUGAAUACGUUCCCGGGCCUUGUACACACCGC
rnacentral:rRNA from 1 species